rnacentral:rRNA from 1 species
UAGGAGGUCCCGCCUGCCCUGUGACCACAAGUUCAACGGCCGCGGUAUUUUGACCGUGCAAAGGUAGCGUAAUCACUUGUCUUUUAAAUGAGGACCCGUAUGAAUGGCAAAACGAGGGCUUAACUGUCUCCCCCUUUUAAUCAGUGAAAUUGAUCUCCCCGUGCAGAAGCGGGGAUAACCACAUAAGACGAGAAGACCCUGUGGAGCUUUAAACACGAGGAAGGAACAUUACAAACUCUCCCCCCUCUCCGGGGCAAAAUUAUUUGUUACCCUCACCUCUGUUUUUGGUUGGGGCGACCGCGGAGAAAUAACUACCCCCCGCGAGGACAAGAAGUACUAACUUCUACAGACUAGAGCUGCCGCUCUAGCACCCAGAAAUUCUGACCAUUAGAUCCGGCAUAGCCGAUCAACGGACCGAGUUACCCCAGGGAUAACAGCGCAAUCCCCUUCCAGAGCCCAUAUCGACAAGGGGGUUUACGACCUCGAUGUUGGAUCAGGACAUCCUAAUGGUGCAGCCGCUAUUAAGGGUUCGUUUGUUCAACG